GACGAACGCUGGCGGCGUGCCUAAUACAUGCAAGUCGAACGGUUUAGUUCCAAGAGGCUUGCCUUUUGGACCUAGACAGUGGCGGACGGGUGAGUAACACGUAGUCAACCUACCUGUCAAACCGGGAUAACCUCGGGAAACCGAAGCUAAACCCGGAUAAGCUCCUUUUCGCAUGAAGGGGGGGUGAAAAGGUUCGACCUGAUGACAGAUGGGCCUGCGGCGCAUUAGCUAGUAGGUAGGGUAACGGCCUACCUAGGCGGUGAUGCGUAGCCGACCUGAGAGGGCGUAAGGUCACAUGGGAACUGGGAUAGGGCCCAGGCUCCUACGGGAGGGAGCAGUAGGGAACGUUCGGCAGUGGGCGAGAGCCUGACCGAGCGACGCCGCGUGAGUGAGGAAGGCCCUCGGGUUGUAAAGCUCUGUUGUGUGGGAAGAAGGGAAAGGGUAGGAGCCUUAGGUGACGGUACCAAACGAGAAAGCCCCGGCUAACUACGUG
rnacentral:rRNA from 1 species